CUGACGUAUAUACGGUUGUCGCAGGUUCUCCCGGAGAUUCUUGUCGCGUGCAGUGAGUCCUGCCGUCCGCCCGCGUCGAUUGUCGUUCUCUUUUUCGUAGAGCGUAGCAAUUUAUUUGUCGCUAUACGCAUUGACCGCGUAGCGAUCGAGGUUGUCGGCCAGACAGCGCGUUUGUUCCCGCGUCUUGUUUUCAUUUGUCGUCGCGUGCGCGGUAAACUGUGCCAGAAGUCGCAAUUGCGAAAUCACAAUCACAAUAGGAUAGGAUUUUCAGAGAUCGGGGAUGUCCCGCAGUGAUAGCGCGGCGAGAUAAUGCAGGCUGUUUUCUUCCACACAUCGUACCACAAAGAAAAAUAAAGGAACGAUAAUCUAUUAGCGGAAUGAUUUGUCAUACGAGGAUCGGUGUGUGAAGAAUAUUAAUCGCCAAUUAUUCGUCGAUGAUUCGACGCGAAAGAAGAUGACUGGUCUACAGCAUGGAAAAAUUCUGAGAGGCAAAUAUGGAAAUAUUGCAUUAGAAUGAUAAUAGAGAUUUUUCGACUCGCUUCUGAAACAGAAAAGCGAUUAUCGAGAAAACUUCGUAGAAGAUAUUUUGACCAAAGAAAGAAUUACUCGUGAACAAAUCUCUUCAAAGGAAUAUUUCUCAAAGGAUUUUAUAAAUAAUUUAAAAAAAUAUAUCUUCUACAGAAAAGUUUAAAGAAGAAAUUUAUUAGAAACAUCUGCCGGAAGAACAUUCAAAGGGAUACUUUCAGCUGGAGCUGUUCGUAAAAGGAAACAUGUCGGAAAAAAAUUCUUUGCAAGAUUAUAUACUCGCUAAAGAGAAAUUUUCUAAGGAAUAUUUUUAUGCGCGUUUAAUUCCUAAUGAAAAAUGCGUUUAGAAAGAAAUGCUACUAAUGAAGAGAUAAGUUGUUCGUUCGAGAAGAUCUACGACGAUUUCGAGGAAUUCUUCUGGAAACAUUCUAGGACUUCUGAAACACUAUUAAAGUGCUGUCGGUGACGCGUUUUUAUGAAAGAGAAAGAUAUUUUCUCUGUCACUCAACAAUCACUUUUCUUCCUUGAAGACUCUUUUGAAGAGACUUUAAAAGAAAAAAAAACGGAGCAAUUUCCAUUUUCUUUCCAUCUAAAUUUCCAUAAUCAGUCGUUUCUUAUUUCCAAAGUCAACAAAGUUUCCGCCAAGGUUUCCGCUCCCGGGGAUUCAGUGGAGAUUGAUAUCUCUUUGUCGUAUAACUGCUAGACACAAGAAUGACAGUCGAGGUGAUGUUCUUGCAAGUGCUGGGGGGCGUCGCGACGCUGGGUCGGCGAAUUGAGCGUCGUAACUUCGGUUUUACGUAAUGCCAAUCUGCUGCUAUUGCUGCUGCUGCUGCUACCAACACCGUCGGGUGGGACUUGUCAAGGUCACGGGCCGCGGAAAACGCGCUGCAGAUCCGUAACGAGUCGCUGCCAUUGAUUCUAUUAAUCUAGUGAGAAGCAAAACGUUCCACCAGUCAAGUUGAACGAGCGGAAGUCUUCAAAGGCAACAAAGCACAGGUGAAAAGGCCGAAGUAAUCCAGUGAAUCAAUCGAUUUAACGGGAUUUAACGGGAUCAUAGAAAAGGUGCAUACGCGUAAGCAAACAAAAAGAACGAAGAAAACUUGAAA